rnacentral:misc_RNA from 1 species
GGAGAUCUCCUCCAAUGUCUCAUCAAUUUGUGCCUGUAAAUCUGGUGCUAGGCUGCUAGCCCCUUCGUCCUGCAAGAGCUUCAACGCUCUCUCCAGCAUCUCACAACCUCGGAUGAAAUCUGGGGGAUUCAAUGCCAUAGCAUCCCUCGACAUGUCCACAUAAGCAAGCGCCAUUGCCAGCACAACAUCUUGCUUGAAUGCCUUGGGCAGCCUCUCUCGAAGCAAAUUGUCUCCAAUUUCNAAUUUCCCCUGCUUCUUGCAAAACACAUAGAGCCCCAGGAACCUUGUCCCACGGGACCUGAGUGAUGAUAGUAUCCUGCUCGUCAUCGAUCAAGCCUUGAUUAUAUUCUCUUCUUGAUUUUGGAUCCGCUAGAGUUUCAAAUGCGGCUUGGAGAAUCUGCCGACGACUAAUCAAUGCAUCUUGACUGAAGCCCAACUGAGGCGGCUUAGAAAUCCU